rnacentral:rRNA from 1 species
AACUCGCGAAUGGCUCAUUAAAUCAGUUAUCGUUUAUUUGAUAGUGCUUUUACUAAUCGGUAUAACCGUGGUAAUUCUAGAGCUAAUACGUGCUAAAAAUCCCGACCUCUGGAAGGGAUGUAUUUAUUAGAUAAAAAAAUCAAUGUCUUCGGACUCUUUGAUGAUUCAUAAUAACUUUUCGAAUCGCAUGGCCUUGUGCUGGCGAUGGUUCAUUCAAAUUUCUGCCCUAUCAACUUUCGAUGGUAGGAUAGUGGCCUACCAUGGUUGCAACGGGUAACGGGGAAUUAGGGUUCGAUUCCGGAGAGGGAGCCUGAGAAACGGCUACCACAUCCAAGGAAGGCAGCAGGCGCGCAAAUUACCCAAUCCCAAUACGGGGAGGUAGUGACAAUAAAUAACGAUACAGGGCCCUUUCGGGUCUUGUAAUUGGAAUGAGUACAAUUUAAAUACCUUAACGAGGAACAAUUGGAGGGCAAGUCUGGUGCCAGCAGCCGCGGUAAUUCCAGCUCCAAGAGCGUAUGUAAAAGUUGUUGCAGUUAAAAAGCUCGUAGUUGAACCUUGGGCUUGGUUGGCCGGUCCGCUUUUUUGCGAGUACUGGAUUCAACCGAGCCUUUCCUUCUGGCUAACUAGUUACUUCGGUGGCUAGCGAACCAGGACAUUUACUUUGAGAAAAUUAGAGUGUUCAAAGCAGGCAUUAGCUUGAAUAUAUUAGCAUGGAAUAAUAGAAUAGGACGUUAUGGUUCUAUUUUUGUUGGUUUCUAGGACCAUCGUAAUGAUUAAUAGGGACGGUCGGGGGCAUCAGUAUUCAGUUGUCAGAGGUGAAAUUCUUGGAUUUACUGAAGACUAACUACUGCGAAAGCAUUUGCCAAGGACGUUUUCAUUAAUCAACGAACGAAAGUUAGGGGAUCGAAGAUGAUCAGAUACCGUCGUAGUCUUAACCAUAAACUAUGCCGACUAGGGAUCGGGUGUUGUCCUUUUUUUGGCGCACUCGGCACCUUACGAGAA